rnacentral:rRNA from 1 species
UACAGAGGGGGCAAGCGUUGUUCGGAAUUACUGGGCGUAAAGGGCGCGUAGGCGGCCCGCUAAGUCGAACGUGAAAUCCCCGAGCUCAACUCGGGAACUGCGUCCGAUACUGGCGGGCUUGAAUCCGGGAGAGGGAUGCGGAAUUCCAGGUGUAGCGGUGAAAUGCGUAGAUAUCAGGAGGAACACCUGUGGUGUAGACAGCUUACUGGACCAUAACUGACGCUGAGGCACGAAAGCGUGGGUAGCAAACAGG